GGGAGAGCUGAGUGGGAGAUGUGGGGCUGAGUUGCCGGCAUCAGCCAAGGGUACACAAAGGUACCAGCUGAAAGAUGAGAACACUGAGACUUCGGAAGGGUGAAUGACUCCAUAACUGAAUGGUG
rnacentral:lncRNA from 1 species